rnacentral:rRNA from 1 species
UACAGAGGUGGCAAGCGUUGUUCGGAAUUACUGGGCGUAAAGCGCGUGUAGGCGGUUAUCCAAGUCGGGUGUGAAAGCCUUGAGCUCAACUCAAGAAAUGCACUCGGUACUGGGUGACUAGAGGACCGGAGAGGAUAGUGGAAUUCCCAGUGUAGUGGUGAAAUACGUAGAGAUUGGGAAGAACACCUAUGGCGAAGGCAGCUCGCUGGGACGUUACUGACGCUGAGACGCGAAAGCGUGGGGAGCAAACAGG